rnacentral:rRNA from 1 species
ACGCUGGCGGCGUGCCUAACACAUGCAAGUCGAGCGAAGCACUUUGCUUAGAUUCUUCGGAUGAAGAGGAUUGUGACUGAGCGGCGGACGGGUGAGUAACGCGUGGGUAACCUGCCUCAUACAGGGGGAUAACAGUUAGAAAUGACUGCUAAUACCGCAUAAGACCACAGCACCGCAUGGUGCGGGGGUAAAAACUCCGGUGGUAUGAGAUGGACCCGCGUCUGAUUAGCUAGUUGGUAAGGUAACGGCUUACCAAGGCGACGAUCAGUAGCCGACCUGAGAGGGUGACCGGCCACAUUGGGACUGAGACACGGCCCAAACUCCUACGGGAGGCAGCAGUGGGGAAUAUUGCACAAUGGGGGAAACCCUGAUGCAGCGACGCCGCGUGAGCGAAGAAGUAUUUCGGUAUGUAAAGCUCUAUCAGCAGGGAAGAAAAUGACGGUACCUGACUAAGAAGCACCGGCUAAAUACGUGCCAGCAGCCGCGGUAAUACGUAUGGUGCAAGCGUUAUCCGGAUUUACUGGGUGUAAAGGGAGCGUAGACGGAUGGGCAAGUCUGAUGUGAAAACCCGGGGCUCAACCCCGGGACUGCAUUGGAAACUGUUCAUCUAGAGUGCUGGAGAGGUAAGUGGAAUUCCUAGUGUAGCGGUGAAAUGCGUAGAUAUUAGGAGGAACACCAGUGGCGAAGGCGGCUUACUGGACAGUAACUGACGUUGAGGCUCGAAAGCGUGCGGAGCAAACAGGAUUAGAUACCCUGGUAGUCCACGCCGUAAACGAUGACUACUAGGUGUCGGGUGGCAAAAGCCAUUCGGUGCCGCAGCAAACGCAAUAAGUAGUCCACUUGGGGAGUACGUUCGCAAAGAAUGAAACUCAAAGGAAUUGACGGGGACCCGCACAAGCGGUGGAGCAUGUGGUUUAAUUCGAAGCAACGCGAAGAACCUUACCUGCUCUUGACAUCCCGCUGACCGGACGGUAAUGCGUCCUUCCCUUCGGGGCAGCGGAGACAGGUGGUGCAUGGUUGUCGUCAGCUCGUGUCGUGAGAUGUUGGGUUAAGUCCCGCAACGAGCGCAACCCCUAUCUUUAGUAGCCAGCGGCCAGGCCGGGCACUCUAGAGAGACUGCCGGGGAUAACCCGGAGGAAGGUGGGAAUGACGUCAAAUCAUCAUGCCCCUUAUGAGCAGGGCUACACACGUGCUACAAUGGCGUAAACAAAGGGAAGCGAGACCGCGAGGUGGAGCAAAUCCCAAAAAUAACGUCUCAGUUCGGAUUGUAGUCUGCAACUCGACUACAUGAAGCUGGAAUCGCUAGUAAUCGCGAAUCAGAAUGUCGCGGUGAAUACGUUCCCGGGUCUUGUACACACCGCCCGUCACACCAUGGGAGUCAGUAACGCCCGAAGUCAGUGACCCAACCGUAAGGAGGGAGCUGCCGAAGGCGGGACCGAUAACUGGGGUG